ACAGCCCCACAAUGUUCCUCAAUCGCUCUUAAAUCUAAUUUUAAACAGGUUUUAUUAAUAUUUACACCGAUGUAAUCUGCACAGGACGGUUAUUUGGGAUUUUAACUCGCAAAUCGCCGUCUCAAAGUCGUCUUAUAACGCUUUGUUGCGGCUCUAUUUUAAAAAAUACCCCAGGAGAAGGAAACUCCACACAAGCAGCACAGCAGAGAAGGCACCCCUUGUGUAAUCCGGAUUUUCAAAUUUGAGAUUGUUCCUGGCGGCGCGAGGUUGAAGGUUGUCAUCUGACCAACACCUGAUCACAUGGUGCGGAGGCUUUUGGUCUGGACCUUAAUAAAACGAUCGCUGUGUGGGGAAAGAAUUAAUACUGUGGCCUGUGUCCUGUGUGCUGACCUCAUGGUGUAAGCAGGACUAAAGAUGAGCAUUAGCAGUGAUGAGGUCAAUUUCCUGGUGUACAGAUAUCUGCAGGAGUCAGGGUUUUCCCAUUCAGCCUUCACAUUUGGCAUAGAGAGUCAUAUUAGUCAGUCCAACAUAAACGGAGCCUUGGUGCCCCCUGCUGCCCUCAUCUCCAUUAUCCAGAAGGGCCUGCAGUACGUGGAGGCAGAAGUCAGCAUCAACGAGGAUGGCACGCUGUUUGACGGCCGACCGAUCGAAUCGCUGUCGCUGAUUGAUGCGGUGAUGCCGGACGUGGUCCAGACACGACAGCAGGCUUACCGGGACAAACUGGCCCAGCAACAGGCGGCCGCGGCGCCCCCAGCAACCAGCGCUAACAUGCAGGGCAACGCCAAAAACGGAGAGAACACCGCCAACGGAGAGGAGAACGGUGCACACACCUUAGCAAAUAACCACGCAGACAUGAUGGAGGUGGACGGGGAUGUGGAGAUCCCUCAGAACAAAGCCAUGGUUCUCCGUGGCCAUGAAUCAGAAGUGUUCAUCUGCGCCUGGAACCCUGUCAGUGACCUCCUCGCUUCUGGGUCAGGGGACUCGACGGCGCGGAUCUGGAACCUCAGUGAGAACAGUACCAGCAGUUCCACGCAGCUUGUACUGCGUCACUGCAUACGGGAGGGUGGCCAGGACGUCCCCAGUAACAAAGACGUCACGUCAUUAGACUGGAAUAGUGAGGGUACUCUACUAGCAACAGGCUCCUAUGACGGAUUCGCCAGGAUAUGGACUAAAGACGGGAAUCUGGCCAGUACCCUGGGACAACACAAAGGCCCUAUCUUCGCAUUGAAAUGGAACAAGAAAGGAAACUUCAUCCUCAGUGCAGGAGUUGAUAAGACUACAAUCAUUUGGGAUGCUCACACAGGAGAGGCCAAACAGCAGUUUCCUUUCCACUCAGCGCCUGCUCUGGACGUGGACUGGCAGAGCAACAACACAUUUGCCUCCUGUAGCACGGACAUGUGCAUCCAUGUCUGCAAACUCGGCCAAGACAGACCCAUCAAGACAUUCCAAGGACAUACAAAUGAAGUUAAUGCAAUCAAAUGGGAUCCGACUGGUAACCUCCUGGCAUCGUGUUCAGAUGACAUGACGUUGAAGAUCUGGAGUAUGAAACAAGAUACCUGUGUCCACGACUUACAAGCUCACAGCAAAGAAAUCUACACUAUCAAAUGGAGCCCCACUGGUCCUGGAACCAACAACCCCAACGCCAACCUGAUGCUUGCCAGUGCGUCGUUUGAUUCCACUGUUCGGCUGUGGGAUGUAGACAGAGGGAUCUGCAUCCACACGCUAACCAAACACCAGGAGCCUGUAUACAGCGUGGCCUUCAGCCCUGACGGCAGGCACCUAGCCAGCGGCUCCUUUGACAAGUGUGUCCACAUCUGGAACACACAGACUGGUGCUUUAGUCCAUAGCUACAGGGGAACAGGGGGGAUCUUUGAAGUUUGCUGGAAUGCUGCAGGUGACAAAGUGGGCGCUAGUGCAUCGGAUGGCUCUGUCUGUGUAUUAGAUCUGCGGAAAUAACGCUGCUUGUUGGAAGCCAUGGACCGACUAUGAAUGUGUACAUAGCCAAAUUGACUGUCCCUAUCCCAUACACUGCUACAGUCCCUAUUGACCCAUGGCCAGCCACUACAGAGGAGAGACUAAACAAGCAGCCCCAUUCAGCAGACCAAGAAGAAUGGACGUGAUUCCAACCUGAGACAAGAAAAGGGACUUUUAAAAUGAGGACAAAACAAAAUUCUGGACUGGGGAAAUGAACAUAUUUGCAGUAUUCUAGUUCAUGAGAGAGCUGAAUUGGGCAAGAAGACUCCAUAGAAUGUGAGUGUGUCAUUCGUGUCUCUCAGCAGACCCCAGAGUUGGCGUUUUGUGCCCCAAACCCUCACUGUCUCCCUCUCUUUAAGCCUUAUAUGUUAACAACUUCUUUUUUGGGACAAUAUCACUUGGCAUAUAACCAUGCAUUUUAUACAGAGUAUAGUACACUGAGAGCUGUAUAAAUAUUCUACUGUUAAGUAGAUUGUACCAUCGAAACACUAUUUAUGAAGCAGUCUAUGACAGUUGAAGGGUAUUCUAGGUUUUUCAUUUCUUUUCGGUCAAAUUAUAUCUACCGUCUCAGUGUCUGCCUGCCACCAUGCUUUUCUCUCUCUCUCUCUCUCUCUCUCUCUCUCUCUCUUUUUUCUCUCCUUGUCACUACCUGGAUUCUAAUCAUAUUCUUUCUAUGUCUGUCCCUCUGGACGUUUUGUACUCUUUUAAAACUUUUGUAAUUCAUAUUUCUUUGUAGAUUUAAAAAAAAAAAAAAAGUACAAAUUACUGACUGUCGGAGAUAACCUGGACCAUGUACAGUAUACAUGACAGUUUGAUUUUUUUUUUUUGGGUUCUUAAUGUCAUCCAAAGUGCCCACGCCCACCCUUUGUCUCCUGAUUUUUUUUUUCUUUUCUUUUUUUGUCUUUUUUUCUGUUGCAGAUUUUUCCCCCUUGCAUUGCAUUGAUCUGUUGUCAUUUCAAUCAGAUCUGAAGUCCAGAAUAAAAUAUAUUUUGAUAUUA